AUUGAACGCUGGCGGCAUGCUUUACACAUGCAAGUCUAACGGUAACAGGUUAAGCUGACGAGUGGCGAACGGGUGAGUAAUGCAUCGGAACGUGCCCGAUCGUGGGGGAUAACGCAGCGAAAGCUGCGCUAAUACCGCAUACGAUCUGAGGAUGAAAGCGGGGGACCGUAAGGCCUCGCGCGAUCGGAGCGGCCGAUGUCAGAUUAGGUAGUUGGUGGGGUAAAGGCUCACCAAGCCAACGAUCUGUAGCUGGUCUGAGAGGACGACCAGCCACACUGGGACUGAGACACGGCCCAGACUCCUACGGGAGGCAGCAGUGGGGAAUUUUGGACAAUGGGCGAAAGCCUGAUCCAGCAAGGCCGCGUGCAGGAAGAAGGCCUUCGGGUUGUAAACUGCUUUUGUACGGAGCGAAAAGGCUCUCUCUAAUACAGGGGGCUCAUGACGGUACCGUAAGAAUAAGCACCGGCUAACUACGUGCCAGCAGCCGCCGUAACAC
rnacentral:rRNA from 1 species